GACGAACGCUGGCGGCGUGCCUAAUACAUGCAAGUGGGACGCAAGGAAACACACUGUGCUUGCACACCGUGUUUUCUUGAGUCGCGAACGGGUGAGUAACGCGUAGGUAACCUGCCUAUUAGCGGGGGAUAACUAUUGGAAACGAUAGCUAAUACCGCAUAAUAUUAAUUAUUGCAUGAUAAUUGAUUGAAAGAUGCAAGCGCAUCACUAGUAGAUGGACCUGCGUUGUAUUAGCUAGUUGGUAAGGUAAGAGCUUACCAAGGCGACGAUACAUAGCCGACCUGAGAGGGUGAUCGGCCACACUGGGACUGAGACACGGCCCAGACUCCUACGGGAGGCAGCAGUAGGGAAUCUUAGGCAAUGGACGAAAGUCUGACCGAGCAACGCCGCGUGAGUGAAGAAGGUUUUCGGAUCGUAAAGCUCUGUUGUAAGUCAAGAACGUGUGUGAGAGUGGAAAGUUCACACAGUGACGGUAGCUGACCAGAAAGGGACGGCUAACUACGUG
rnacentral:rRNA from 1 species